AGGUGUGUGUAUGGGUUUUCCUCACCUUCUCCUGAGAAAGGUUGUUUUUGAACAAAUUCUAUGUAUUCGGGGUCUAUCUCAAUACUAGAUGCUAUGAUAGGCUUUGAAGAUUUUGGUGGUUCGAGAUGUGUGCCCGUAGGUCUAUGGAAUUCAUAGAUAGACAUGUUUGAAUUCAUGAUAGACCAGAGAUCAAGGAUUAGAUAAGAAGAAAGAAUAGCAUAGAUGAGGCAAAGGAUAAAAGGAAAAAUAUUUUUUUUAUAUAUUUUUUUUAGAAAUAGGCUAGUUCGUAGUCAACUCAGCAACCGUUUCCUCGGCAACGGCGCCAAAAAUGCUUGUUGACACUUGCUAACACCACUUGAAUACUAGGUUGUCAUCCCCAGCAUGGCACUAGAGUGUACUAUGGUAUUUAUACGCACAUAGAUAAUCCGCAAGCGCACGGAUACCGUUGAAGCUUUUACCCGGUUAAAGGUUUUAUCGUAUCCACAGAGAAACGGGAGAACUGAUCUAUGCUCUAACUUAACCAAGAUAAGUAAAUAGGUGUAAAUAGGAAAGAUGGUAGAAUCGAAUAAGAACAAUAUUAAAGGUAAGAUAACAGUGAGUGAUAAUAUGGGAAUAGAGAAUAGAGCAAUUCUAGUAUAUGGGCGAUGGUAGCAGAAUAGAGAGGAUAGCUAUGGUUUCUCUACUUCAAAAGGGGUAUGUCUAUGUCUGGGACGAACCAUGUGAUAAGAGUACACCACAAAGGAUGCUUAUCCUUAGGCCGAUAAACCCUACCCGUCCUGCUAACGAGAGGUGGACUACAGAGGACCAACGUAACUGUCACCUACGUGGCCUACCACACGAUCCAGCUAGACAGGGGAUAUCCACAAGUAAUCUAGAUCUAAGCACCUCACUUACACCUAUACUACAACUCUCACCU
rnacentral:lncRNA from 1 species